CCGCACGGGUGAGUAACGCGUAUCCAACCUGCCUUACACUCUUGGACAGCCUUCUGAAAGGGAGAUUAAUACAAGAUGGCAUCAUGAGUCCACAUGUUCACAUGAUUAAAGGUAUUCCGGUAGACGAUGGGGAUGCGUUCCAUUAGAUAGUAGGCGGGGUAACGGCCCACCUAGUCUUCGAUGGAUAGGGGUUCUGAGAGGAAGGUCCCCCACAUUGGAACUGAGACACGGUCCAA
rnacentral:rRNA from 1 species